CCACUCUUAAAUUAUUGAAAUUCUAACCUGUGAUCAUGAACUGGUCAGGGGACAAUGUCAGGCGGGCAGUUUGACUGGGGCGGUCGCCUCCUAAAGAGUAACGGAGGCGCGCGAUGGUUGGCUCAGACCGGUCGGAAAUCGGUCGUUGAGUGCAAUGGCAGAAGCCAGCCUGACUGCAAGUCUGACAAGACGAGCAGAGACGAAAGUCGGUCAUAGUGAUCCGGUGGUCCCGAGUGGAAGGGCCAUCGCUCAACGGAU
rnacentral:rRNA from 1 species